AUCAUGAUGAUGCAGUGGUAGCAUGUUUGACAUUGAGUUUACGGAUGGCUCAGGUUCGAUUCCAGGUCGUCACC